rnacentral:rRNA from 1 species
GAUGAACGCUGGCGGCGUGCCUAAUACAUGCAAGUCGAGCGAACAGAUAAGGAGCUUGCUCCUUUGACGUUAGCGGCGGACGGGUGAGUAACACGUGGGUAACCUACCUAUAAGACUGGGAUAACUUCGGGAAACCGGAGCUAAUACCGGAUAAUAUUUCGAACCGCAUGGUUCGAUAGUGAAAGAUGGUUUUGCUAUCACUUAUAGAUGGACCCGCGCCGUAUUAGCUAGUUGGUAAGGUAACGGCUUACCAAGGCGACGAUACGUAGCCGACCUGAGAGGGUGAUCGGCCACACUGGAACUGAGACACAGUCCAGACUCCUACGGGAGGCAGCAGUAGGGAAUCUUCCGCAAUGGGCGAAAGCCUGACGGAGCAACGCCGCGUGAGUGAUGAAGGUCUUCGGAUCGUAAAACUCUGUUAUUAGGGAAGAACAUACGUGUAAGUAACUGUGCACGUCUUGACGGUACCUAAUCAGAAAGCCACGGCUAACUACGUG